rnacentral:misc_RNA from 1 species
UCUCCGUUGGUGAACCAGCGGAGGGAUCAUUACCGAGUUUACAACUCCCAAACCCAAUGUGAACCAUACCAAACUGUUGCCUCGGCGGGGUCACGCCCCGGGUGCAUCGCAGCCCCGGAACCAGGCGCCCGCCGGAGGGACCAACCAAACUCUUUCUGUAGUCCCCUCGCGGACGUUAUUUUUACAGCUCUGAGCAAAAAUUCAAAAUGAAUCAAAACUUUCAACAACGGAUCUCUUGGUUCUG